AUGAUUUGGUGUCUGUUCAGCACGGGUCACUGGGGCGCCUCUUUUAGAGUUAGAAUGUUAGCUCUUUAGCGUCGACAUAGCGGCACACUCUAUCGUCUCUUUUUCCAGAUGGGCUUUACGAUUUCAUACGAGUUGCCAAAAUACCCAGUGUUUUGUUGGUUCUCUUUCACUCUUGGCAGAUUGCGCAUGCGCGAUCAUUCAACAACGUUCUGUCUCAGAAAGACGCGAGUAUUCCGGAGCGUCAGCAUCAGGCAUGGCUGAACAAAGAAAUGGCGUACACACGCCUCCCGCGUUUACCUCCGUGGACGAAGUAAACCCGGGCACAAACCAGAAAGGUGGCGAGGGUGCUUCAGGCACUUGCGUCCAUUAUCCUUCGUAUAUUGAAGAGUACAUCGAUGCCGCGUUGAAGGCGCGGAACCGCCAGACCGAUGCCACUGACGUCAAUGGAACUUCAGCUACAGAGGACUUUGACCGGCUCUCUCAAAGCGCGGCUGCUUCCAGAAGAGGGGCACGUGGCCUGCUGUUGAAAAUUACAACUAUGUCCUGCCACGCAGCCGCUUAUACGUUUGACACGUGGUAGCCACCACUUAAGAGAUGCCAGCCUGAGCGGGAGCACCAAUCACGCGCCUGUGGAGUCCUCCGCCAGUGCCGAUCCCUCCAGGCCCAGUACCAGCCACGCUGGCAUCGAGAAAGUAUCGUCCACUACAGAAGACACCGCGAGGCUUUUUGAGGACGCCUGGCGUUACCAGGGGAACACGCAAACCACGGCGAUUACCGACGAUACCUGCAACGUCGACGGUGUCGCUGACAAUGGCAGCACUAGUUAACUGCACCUGGGGGCCAUCAGCAGCAUCGAUAACCCAAGGCCCAG